rnacentral:rRNA from 1 species
GACGAACGCUGGCGGCGUGCUUAACACAUGCAAGUCGAGCGAGAAAGCUCCUUCGGGAGUGAGUACAGCGGCGAACGGGUGAGUAACACGUGGGCAACCUGCCCAGGGGAGCGGGACAACCCGGGGAAACCCGGGCUAAUACAGCAUAACGCGUCAUGUCAUAAGGCGUGACGCCAAAAGGUAGCUUCGGCCUCCGCCCCUGGAUGGGCCCGCGGCGCAUUAGCUUGUUGGUGGGGUAACGGCCUACAAAGGCGACGAUGCGUAGCUGGUCUGAGAGGACGAUCAGCCACACUGGGACUGAGACACGGCCCAGACUCCUACGGGAGGCAGCAGUGGGGAAUCUUGCGCAAUGGGCGAAAGCCUGACGCAGCAACGCCGCGUGGGGGAAGAAGGCUUUCGGGUUGUAAACCUCUUUCAGGAGGGACGAAGCUUCCGGGGUUAAUAGCCUACGGGGUGACGGUACCUCCAGAAGAAGCCCCGGCUAACUACGUGCCAGCCGCCGCCGUAAGAC